UACAGAGGUCCCGAGCGUUGUUCGGAUUCACUGGGCGUAAAGGGUGCGUAGGUGGUGGGGAAAGUCGGAUGUGAAAGCCCUGGGCUCAACCUAGGAAGUGCAUUCGAAACUUCUGAGCUUGAGUAUCGGAGAGGGUCGCGGAAUUCUCGGUGUAGAGGUGAAAUUCGUAGAUAUCGAGAGGAACACCGGUGGCGAAGGCGGCGACCUGGACGAUUACUGACGCUGAGACGCGAAAGCGUGGGGAGCAAACAGG
rnacentral:rRNA from 1 species